GGUUCCACCAGUUUGCAGAGGCACCCUGGGCAAGGAGAACACGGAAUUUUCAUCCAUGGAGAGCUGCUCCCAAGGUGCCUGAUGCUCAUAGUGAGAUCUUGGCCAGAUCCUUUCACAUGGCACAACUGGAAUUUUAACCCCAAGGACAGCAGCUGGGACAGAAAGCUGACCCAGAUCAGAAACCCUCACUCUGUCCUUGCCCUUUCCUCACUGCACAGAACUGGAGUCAGCUCGUGGAAUUCACCUGGGAGAACAGGAAAGAUUGGUUCCAUGAAGUGCUAAGAGAGUAUGGAAAAAAAAAAAUCAUUAAAAGCAGGAGUCAGGAGAACCAUGCCUCCAGCAUUUCCACCUUUGUCCCAUUGCCUAACAAUUGUGGGGACCAACUAAUAUCUCCCUCCUGGCUCUAAAGAGAAAGGGCAGACAGAAAAGUGCUCCCUGUGUCCAGCUGACCUUUCUGUGAGCUGCCCUCCAUUUAAAGUCUGGAGUUAAAAAAUGCCAGGCAACAACCUAAAACCCAAAGUCCACCAAAAUCAAUAGAAACUUGGACCCAUAAAUGUGUCACUGAAAUGUUGACUCUGGUGCCUUGUUUCCCUCUCUGGAACAAUUUGCAAAAGAUGUGAAAGAGGAAGGAAAAGCAGAAUGAGGGGGGAAGUGAAUAGCUGACUGUGCCUACUGCAAGGGUCUGCAGUUUUGGGUGAAAAAAUAAAGGGGGGAAGAAAGGGAAACAGAGGGUGACACAUAAGAAGCAUUAAAAAAUGUUGAUUCAGUGUUAUUUUAACUGCUGGCAAUAAAAAAAGUCUUUGGAGGUCUGA